rnacentral:rRNA from 1 species
UACGUAGGGUGCAAGCGUUGUCCGGAAUUAUUGGGCGUAAAGAGCUUGUAGGCGGUUUGUCGCGUCUGCUGUGAAAUUUCGGGGCUCAACCCCGAACUUGCAGUGGGUACGGGCAGACUAGAGUGUGGUAGGGGAGACUGGAAUUCCUGGUGUAGCGGUGAAAUGCGCAGAUAUCGGGAGGAACACCUAUGGCGAAGGCAGCUCGCUGGGACGGUACUGACGCUGAGACGCGAAAGCGUGGGGAGCAAACAGG